rnacentral:misc_RNA from 1 species
GAAAAUUCAUUGGGUUGUAAUAUUAUCUCCGAGAAAAGGAAGGCCACAGAAACACUUCCUGUCUCGAAGAAAAAGAAACAUUGUUCUGAAGUUGCUGAGAAGGUUGAUGAGCAGACCAAGAAAUCUCAACAAGGUCUGACAAGCAAGAAGAGUCAUUGCAAGCAAAAGAAGCUAGCUGAUCCAGAUAGCAAAGAUUUGGAUAAUAUCAAAGGAAGUGCUGAAAGUAGCAAGGUUAAUGACAGUAUUUCGGGCAUGAAGAAAAGUGACAAGAUUCAAGAGAAGGGUGUGGAGAAUGUAGAGGCAACCACGAAGCCUGAGAGAGUAAAAAAGGGUCCGAGUAGAAGUGCCCGGAAACAAUAUGCUAAAAGGCAAUGGUUGCGAGAAAUGGUCAAAAUUUAUAAGAAUGUAGCUUCUGAAGCAGAGGGACUUGUAAGUUAAUUAUAAGAUGUAGAUAUUUGCGUCUCUUUUUAGUUCUCAAAAAAAUUAUAAGAUGUAAAUAUGCCAACUGUUGUUUCCACGGUAUGUUAUAUUUGAGCGCAAAAAUUUUGCUGCGAAAAUAGAAGGAACUGCAGGCUAAUGGUGGAAGAAGAGCUGGUAAAUUACACCCAAAGUGGCUUGUUAAUGGUGAGACUGAUGGCAAACCAAUGGCACGUAGGAACUGGAAGCAGCAACAAAGCAAAACUGAAUAUCAAGAGGUGAAUGGCCAACCAAAAGGACUACUGCACUGGAAGAAAUUGCGGGAAGAAGAUAAGGGUAGAGAUACGAACAAACAAGAUCAGGCGAAUGAAAAAAGCACCUUCUGUGGAGAACCAGGACAACACAAUGAUAUGGAGGCUGAAACUAUUCCAGAUCAAGCUUUGCAGCAUGAUCAAGUGCAAGAGAUAGUUUUUCCGUCAAUUCAUGAAGUUUGCCUUGUCAAAAAUGGUAAUUCAGACUCUGUAGCAGGACUUCCUGCCACAAACAAAUCAAAUCCAGUCCUUAAGGCUGCUAAAAAGAAAACUAAUGGCCCAGCUAUAGAAAAAGGAGUAAACCUCUGGGAACAACACAGUGAGACCAUCAACGCGGAGAAGGAACAGUUACAUGAAGAAAGUAGCUGGGGUACGUGGAGCUCUGCGAAGAAGAGCUCAUGGUCAGAGAGAGCCUUGAAAGGCAGUGCUCGUGGUCCUACAAUGGCCUUUCGAAGAUAUAAAAGAUGAAAUAUGAGAUGAAGCAAACUUGUAUAUAUUGUGUUCCUUACUCUCACAAUGAAGUCAACGAACUCCGUUUUGUAGGUAUCUAGGGGAAACUUUGUUGCUUAUAGUAGCAGCAAGUUAGUGUUACCUAAAGUUUAUCUGGAUGUCUUAGUUAGAACUAGUAUGUAAAAAUGUUCCAUAUGUAAGCUUGACAAAAAUUUAACCUUUGUUGUACUGUACUGCAAAUCUGC